rnacentral:rRNA from 1 species
UGGGGAGUCUUAGACAAUGGGGGCAACCCUGAUCUAGCCAUGCCGCGUGGGUGACGAAGGUCUUAGGAUCGUAAAGCUCUUUCGCCGGGGAAGAUAAUGACGGUACCCGGUAAAGAAGUCCCGGCUAACUCCGUGCCAGCAGCCGCGGUAAUACGGAGGGGACUAGCGUUGUUCGGAAUUACUGGGCGUAAAGCGCGCGUAGGCGGAUAUUUAAGUCAGGGGUGAAAUCCCGGGGCUCAACCCCGGAACUGCCCUUGAUACUGGAUGUCUGGAGUUCGAGAGAGGUGAGUGGAAUUCCGAGUGUAGAGGUGAAAUUCGUAGAUAUUCGGAGGAACACCAGUGGCGAAGGCGGCUCGCUGGGCCAUUCCUGACGCUGAGACGCGAAAGCAUGGGGAGCGAACAGGAUUAGAUACCCGGGUAGUCC